rnacentral:rRNA from 1 species
UACGGGGGGGGCAAGCGUUGUUCGGAAUUACUGGGCGUAAAGGGCUCGUAGGCGGCCAACUAAGUCAGACGUGAAAUCCCUCGGCUUAACCGGGGAACUGCGUCUGAUACUGGAUGGCUUGAGUUUGGGAGAGGGAUGCGGAAUUCCAGGUGUAGCGGUGAAAUGCGUAGAUAUCUGGAGGAACACCGGGGGCGAAGGCGGCAUCCUGGACCGGUAUUGACGCUGAGUGAGCGAAAGCCAGGGGAGCAAACGGG